GACGAACCGUGCGAACGUUGUUCGGAAUCACUGGGCUUAAAGGGCGCGUAGGCGGGUCACCAAGUCUGGGGUGAAAUCUUUCGGCUUAACCGGAAAACUGCCUUGGAUACUGGUGACCUCGAGGGAGGUAGGGGUCUGUGGAACUUCUGGUGGAGCGGUGAAAUGCGUUGAUAUCAGAAGGAACGCCGGUGGCGAAAGCGACGGACUGGACCUCCACUGACGCUGAGGCGCGAAAGCUAGGGGAGCAAACGGG
rnacentral:rRNA from 1 species